rnacentral:tRNA from 1 species
GAAGAGGUGGCAGAGUGGUCGAAUGCACCGCACUCGAAAUGCAGCAUACCUGCAAGGGUAUCGUGGGUUCCCACCCUCUCCGCCA